UACGUAGGGUGCAAGCGUUAAUCGGAAUUACUGGGCGUAAAGCGUGCGCAGGCGGUGAUGUAAGACAGUUGUGAAAUCCCCGGGCUCAACCUGGGAACUGCAUCUGUGACUGCAUCGCUGGAGUGCGGCAGAGGGGGAUGGAAUUCCGCGUGUAGCAGUGAAAUGCGUAGAUAUGCGGAGGAACACCGAUGGCGAAGGCAAUCCCCUGGGCCUGCACUGACGCUCAUGCACGAAA
rnacentral:rRNA from 1 species